rnacentral:rRNA from 1 species
GACGAACGCUGGCGGCGUGCCUAAUACAUGCAAGUAGAACGCACAGUUUAUACCGUAGCUUGCUACACCAUAGACUGUGAGUUGCGAACGGGUGAGUAACGCGUAGGUAACCUGCCUGGUAGCGGGGGAUAACUAAUGGAAACGAUAGCUAAUACCGCAUAAUAUUAAUUAUUGCAUGAUAAUUAAUUGAAAGGUGCAAUUGCACCACUACCAGAUGGACCUGCGUUGUAUUAGCUAGUAGGUGAGGUAACGGCUCACCUAGGCGACGAUACAUAGCCGACCGGAGAGGGUGAUCGGCCACACUGGGACUGAGACACGGCCCAGACUCCUACGGGAGGCAGCAGUAGGGAAUCUUCGGCAAUGGACGAAAGUCUGACCGAGCAACGCCGCGUGAGUGAAGAAGGUUUUCGGAUCGUAAAGCUCUGUUGUAAGAGAAGAACGGGUGUGAGAGUGGAAAGUUCACACUGUGACGGUAUCUUACCAGAAAGGGACGGCUAACUACGUG